UACGUAGGGGGCUAGCGUUGUCCGGAAUCAUUGGGCGUAAAGAGCGUGUAGGCGGCCCGGUAAGUCCGCUGUGAAAGUCGGGGGCUCAACCCUCGAAUGCCGGUGGAUACUGUCGGGCUAGAGUGCGGAAGAGGCGAGUGGAAUUCCUGGUGUAGCGGUGAAAUGCGCAGAUAUCAGGAGGAACACCAAUUGCGAAGGCAGCUCACUGGGACGUAACUGACGCUGAGACGCGAAAGCGUGGGGAGCAAACAGG
rnacentral:rRNA from 1 species